rnacentral:tRNA from 8 species
GCGCCCGUAGCUCAGCUGGAUAGAGCGCCGGACUUCGAAUCCGUAGGCCGCAGGUUCGAAUCCUGCCGGGCGCGCCA